AAAAAAAUUGAGAUCAGUAUAUUCAUACAGAGCAAUGUUUAUUUUUAUUUUGUUUUUAAAAAUAAUAUAUAAAGACCAAAAUCUUGGCACAUGCUUUCUCCAGCUAACAAGGCAUUCUUGGUACCUACUUUAGUAGGACAGCACUCUGCACUCCGGAGUGAACUGACCUUUGCCUUAAAAUCACUUUGUGACUUCAGAAGGUGGCUUUGGUUCUGUGCUUUUUGUGGCAUUUAUGUUCUGUGAUUGAGUUCACUUCAGAAGUGCCCAAGCAGGCAAGGCUCGCACACCAGGCUGUGAGGUGAGGCAGUGGAUUUCCAUUGAGCAAAUGCUGUCUGGCAAGAUGGGAGAAUGAGCUUGGAGGAGUCCCACUAGAUGGUUCUGGCUGGACUUGACAAAGUCACAUCUUGAAAGGCCCCUUUCCACACUCAGGAUGUGAGAUGGUGCCAAGAGGAGUUUGGAGUGAUGAACUUGGUCUGGCAUGAAUGUGACUGGACCCUGUGACUAAAGCACUUACUUAGUAGUGACCUUUGAGAGGUGUUCAGUCCUAGUGCAGAAGCCGAGUGACUGGGGAACUCCAAGGAGACUGGGGCCCUCUUACCAAUGGUAGUUAUCUCCCAAGGGGCCCUUUGGUAGAGGUGAAGACGUUUUUGCCUAUUGUAAGGUAAGAUGUUGUGUGUGUGGCAGCGGAGGUAACUGUCAUCUAGUGAGUAGAGGCUGCACAUACUCUGGAUGGCUGGCACAACUAACUGUCUGCCCCAAGACCAGUGGCGCUGAGGUGAGGAGCCUGCUGGGGGAGAGUGGUCCAGUGACACUGAGAUAGAGGAGCCUGCUGGGGGAGAGUGGUCCAGUGGUGCUGAGGUGAGGAGCCUGCUGGGGGAGAGUGGUCCAGUGGUGCUGAGGUGAGGAGCCUGCUGGGGGAGAGUGGUCCAGUGGUGCUGAGGUGAGGAGCCUGCUGGGGGAGAGUGGUCCAACAGCAUGAGGGGUGUGAUUAUUGCAGCUUUCCAACCUCUCUAGGAAGUGCUGUUUGUGUUGGUUGUACUUAACUCUUGUCAAAAUAUCCCACUGUCAGCCCUCGUAAGACAAAGUGUGAUGUAUGACGUUCAAAUAAAACUAGACUGUCGAAUAUGUAAUGAAAAAGCCCCAAAUAAAAAUGUUAAUUCUAA